rnacentral:rRNA from 1 species
UACGUAGGUGGCAAGCGUUGUCCGGAAUUAUUGGGCGUAAAGCGCGCGCAGGUGGUUUCUUAAGUCUGAUGUGAAAGCCCACGGCUCAACCGUGGAGGGUCAUUGGAAACUGGGGAACUUGAGUGCAGAAGAGGAAAGUGGAAUUCCACGUGUAGCGGUGAAAUGCGUAGAGAUGUGGAGGAACACCAGUGGCGAAGGCGACUUUCUGGUCUGUAACUGACACUGAGGCGCGAAAGCGUGGGGAGCAAACAGG